rnacentral:rRNA from 1 species
UACAGAGGGGGCAAGCGUUAUUCGGAAUUAUUGGGCGUAAAGGGCGCGUAGGCGGCCUGGCAAGUGGAAGGUGAAAUCCCUCGGCUUAACCGAGGAACUGCCCUCCAAACUGCUUGGCUUGAGUCCGGGAGAGGUGAGUGGAAUUCCCAGUGUAGCGGUGAAAUGCGUAGAUAUUGGGAAGAACACCAACGGCGAAGGCAGCUCGCUGGGACGGUACUGACGCUGAGACGCGAAAGCGUGGGGAGCGAACAGG